UUAUCUCAGAUUUGGAAGGCAUGGAUCCCUCGUAAAAUUAAGAUUUUCCUGUGGCAAGCCUUUAGGGGCCAGCUGCCUUCGGCUGAUCAGAUUCAUAAGAGAAACGGGCCGGGUUCCCAAUUAUGUGCUUUGUGUGGUGUCCUGGAGAAUACAGAACAUAUUUUUUUCAACUAUGUCUUGGCUAGGCUCAUUUGGAGCUGCGUGAGAGAAUGGCUUCUCAUUCCCUGGGCCCUGCCUCCUUUGCAGAGUUGCGGUGCCUGGCAAGUAACUUGGCUGGCAUUACCAGGCGUAUCUUUUGGGUGGGCCUGA
rnacentral:rRNA from 1 species